GCAGCCUGCGUCCACCUCGCCUGAUCCACGAAGAUGGCAUCAUUCGUCCCUAUGACAGGCAGGAAUCUGAGGGCUCUGACUUAUUUGAGCAAGAACUGGAAACACAGGAGUAAAUGUUUCCUGUACUGCCUGAUUCCAUCCUUAAAACUCAAACUACUACUAUUAACUGUGUGUGAAUCAGACUGAGGGUUAAUUUUAAUGAAAUUUUGUCUAUAACUCUCACUGAUGUCUGAACUUUUCAUAAUAGUGGCUUGACGACAGUUGAAAAUUGUGACUUCUUGUAAUUCUGCACAUGUCUAAGAGGUGCAGGAAAUAACUUGGCCAGUUUGGGGUUGGGGUCAAAGGAUAUUGGACCCAGCGCAUAUAUUUUGCUACAGUUUUGGAAAUUUAUCAUUUUUGUGUAUUAGGUUGUUCAUGUACAGAUGGAGUUGGGAGGAUGGUUCUGUGCAGUGAGUGUCUCUGUAUAUUUGUGAAUCUCGAUGAUGGAGUUACGUACAGUUCUGCUCCAUAUGUCACCAAACUUACUCAUUAUGGGACUACUAACAAGCAAUGUGUCAGUUUCUCUGAGCUUGUCCUUAGACCUGAGAUGAGACCUGACAGGCAUAGGAAUUGUAGGACAGUGUUCCUUCAGUACCUUUUUCUUUCUGAGCUCACUUGCAGCUCAGUACAUGAAAUGUUUUUGUGGAGUCCGCACCCUUAACCUUGAGCAGAAUGCUUCUGGAAAACAGAGCCCCGUGGCUGGUUAUGCUUACUUCAUAGUUACUGAAUUUAAUUAUUGCCACUAGACUCAGUAGCAGACCAUGUAAUUAGGCAAAUUACCUCCGUGGCAGCUGAAUGUAUAGAGACCUUUACCUUUUCAAAACAAACUCUUUAGAGGCUCGGACGAUGGCUCGGUUGGUAAAGUCUUUACAAACAAGCCCAGAGACCUGAGUUCAGAUCUCCAGGACCCACAUAAAAAAGGCAGAUGUGGUGGUGGUGGUAUCCAUCUAUCACUCCAGUACUAGAGUCGGGGCUGGGAAACAGGCAGAAGCUGGGGCUCCCUUAGUGAGCACCAGAUUUAGUGGGAGAGCCUGCUCACAAACAAAGCAAAACAAAAGAUAGAGAGUAAUGGCAGAAGAUGCCUGAUAGUGACCUUAGGCCUCCAUACAUACGCGUGUGCAUACCUUCAUAUACACAUGCACAGACAUAGACAUGCAUAUGACAUUGACACUUCAUAAACUUCUUGAUGUGAAAAAAAUUAAAUUAUCAUUUCUACCCCCAGUUAACUCUCAAGUUAUAUUUUAAUUUCUUUUUAAAAUAAAUAAUGGAAAUGUUUAAUUUUGUAAUUUAACAGUGUCUUAUCAAACAAUUACAAUUGAAAGUAGAAACCCCAUCCCUGAUAUAUGUUUGAAGAUAGUGAAACUGUUAAGAUGCAAGCAUUCAGUAGGAUUCAUUUUUUUAGGCAGGGUCUCACUGUGUGGCCCGCCUGGCCUAGAAACUCUCUGUAUUGACCAGGCUGGCCUUGAACUCACAGAGAUCCUCUUGUUUCUGCCUCCCAAGUGCUGGAAUUAAAGGCAUGAAUUUAUAUGUUUUUAAACAUAUAGUUGUAAAAGCCAAUUAUCUGAAUGCUUUACAUUAAAAAAAACAAUUUAAAGAGAAAAUAAUUGAUGUCCAACAACCAGACAGUGCUGGACAAAGGAAAUGACUUACAUCAUUGGGCUGGGGCACAGCUCAGGUAAAAAAGCACACACGAGGCCUGGGUUUGAACCUGGAACCACUGUGUUCCCCUCAAAAUAAGACUUCUGUGCUUAUGGGACCAAGGAUAGAAAAAACAUGUAAAUAUUAACAGUAGCAAAAAAUAAAUAAAUAUAAAUAAAUAAAAUAAAUAAAAAUAUCUUCUUGUGCCUGGGUAACAGGGGAUAGGCACAGUGUCUCUGUGUACGCAGCUUCUAUGAGGAUCAAGCACAAUCUGUCGCUUCAGAUGCUGUAGGUUCUUGUGUCAGAGCCACAAUUUUUAGUUUUCCUGACUAUACUUCGAUUUUACUCCGACUUUUGUGAACCUCUGAAACCUAAGGUCUUUAUUUAUUGUGUAUUUGUAUUUUAUUUUUUUUAGCUCCUGAGUGAUUCCUGUGGUUUCUCUUUUUAUAAGUGUAUAUUACUAAGCACAAAAGGUUA